rnacentral:rRNA from 1 species
CAUAUCCGAAUUGGCCAAGAGUGUUCACGGACAUUCUGGCAACAGAAUUUCUUGACGACCAUAGAGCAUUGGAACCACCUGAUCCCAUCCCGAACUCAGCAGUGAAACGAUGCAUCGCCGAUGGUAGUGUGGGGUUUCCCCAUGUGAGAGUAGGUCAUCGUCAAGA